GAGGGGGAGGGGGGGAGAGAGAGAAAGGAGGAAGUGGGGAGGGGGGAAAGCUUCAAUUAUAUUUUGUGAACUGGAAUAACGUCUAGUUUCUGAGUCUCAAUAACUCAUUAUUCUGAAAGUUGUGCUUCUGAAACAUAUCAAAUCCAUAUUAAGCUAGUUUCUGAGUCUCAAUAACUCAUUAUUCUGAAAGUUGUGCUUCUGAAACAUAUCAAAUCCAUAUUAAGCUAGUUUCUGGUCCCUGUGAAAGAAAUCCUGAUGGCAUGUAGUUUGCUUGUUACAUCCCUCAUAUUCAUUCGAUCUUGUGGCACUACUGCAGAGCAUGCGACUCCAAUUUGAAGGACUGAUACCACGCAUUCUCGUACACUAUCUUCAAUGCUUUCAUCAUCCAUAUUUUCUGCUGCU
rnacentral:misc_RNA from 1 species